GUAUGCAAUUCACUAAAGGUAUGUAAUUCAUAUGGCUAAAGGUAUGCAAUUAUAUAUAAUACAGUUCCUAAGAGUUUUGUGAAAAUCAAUUAUCUCUAAGAAUUCUUUUCUUUUUUUAUAUCCCUAGCAAGGGGAAAGGCCGCAGUAAGAGGUGAAUCCUUAUCAAGCAAGGAUUCCAUGGAAGAAAAAGAGCUAUGGAUUCAUAUCUACUUCAAAGACAAACAAAACAAAACAAAAAGACCCAAGGAACAAUAUACACAACCUGGUAGCAGCUACUGGUUUGACAAACUGUUGUAUCUGAGUGCUGAACCAUAUUCUUGAUCUCACAGGAAGUACUUUUGAAG